CUAUCUAUCUAUCUUGGUCAGGCAUAACAUUAUGACCAAUGACAGAGAAGGUGAAUAGCUGGUUAAUUCUUCAUCUUGGCACCUGCUAGUAGGUGAACAAUUUUAUAUCUCGUGUUUUUAUUAAAAAGAGCUGAUGUCCAUAUGAUUUAGUAUUUACCUCUGGACAAAAAAGUGAUUUAAUUGCAUUUAAGACCACAAUAAAUAACUGUAAAUAUCCUUAUGGUUUUAAACAUCCAUAUGUCCACAUUAAGACUUAUGGAUAUAGACUCAGACCCCUAAAAAAGGUGACUUAAAACAACUAUAAGAGGAUGUCAAUUACCUUGUUAUGGAUGUAUGAUUCUGUGGCCUUUUCUAAUCAUCUCUUUGCUGCCCUAAUUAAAUAUAUCUGCCGCACCGCUCACUGCUACAGCUUACACAACAUAACUGUUGAUUUCACAUAAGAUGCAACACAUAGUCAAGGAUAAACUGAUACAAGAGGAUAACCUUUAAGAGGGUUAAGAACAGGCAUAGAUAAAAGCAGGACUUACGCUCCAUUCUUUGCUCCUCUCGGUUCAUCUCUAAGAUGGGUUGAGGGGGGCCCGGUACCGAAGGUAAAUGUCACUCUGUAUCUGUUCAACUGUAUACUCUGUACACUGAUCAUUUUGGCAUUAAAUCUUGAUUUUAUACCUAACCAUUUCUCAUUAUUUCACAAGGUAAAUACUUUGCUGGUUUUACUGGUUGGGUCUCGGAACUGGAGAGAAACGGACCCGGUGGUGCACAGGGAGGAAAGAGAGUAAAAACUCCCAUUUUACAACAACCUGGUCUAAGUUGCAAAAUGUCUAAACGAGAACAAAAAGCAUUUAGAUUCUAACAAAUGCAGUGUACAAAAUUCACAACCAACUACUGCCUUUGGUGUGUAUUAUAAUACCAUUCAAAUAUUUUUCUUCUUGCAGUAUUUUCCAUGAGUCAUGUCUGCUUUAAAGGAUCCACUUCUCGCUUGGUGGACUCUGGAGGAACCAAAAAGCUCCGUAAACGUCUUAGCAGCACAAACAUACAGGCCUUGACUUGGGUGAGCAAUAGCUUCACCGCCCACAUAGAUACGUCAGUCUUUUUCUCCUUGAGAGGCUAUGCUUGUCAACUAAAGAGGACUAAAAUAUUGUGUUUGUACACUGCUGCAAAAACAGCAAUGAUAAAAAAAUGAAAAAAGUCCACUAAUGGCCACCCCAAAAGAAAAGAAACUGAACUAUACAUUUCUCUGAUGAAACCCUGAGCUGGAGUGAAAUUAUCAUUAACCAUACAGAAGACUUUAAUCAGUCAUCUGGACCUUUGUGGGAUUGCUAAGGAGGUCAUGGGAGUUUGGUUUUCCACUCUCUCUCUUUGCUGAUCUGGAGAAGGCUUAUGACCAUGUCCCCCCAGGUUUUUUUCAGGGGGGAAACCGCGGGAGUAUGUGGAACCUGCUUGUAAUGAAUAUCCGGUCAUUGUAGACUCACUGUAGACUCAGAUUUCUGUAAAUUUAUGGUGAAUUUUAACAGUAUUUUACUGUAUUUCAUAAUAACAGGAAAAUACAGUUAAAUUACUACACUUAGCAUGUUAAUCUACAGUUAAUUUAGCUGGUUUAGCAGUAACAGUAAAUAAUUGUAAUUCAACCCAAAUUUAACAGCAAAUAGAAAUCCUUUACAAGUCGCGCCAUUAUCUGUCAGAAUCUUUUCAAAUGCUGUUGGCUGCUGGUUCUGUUCUGAUGGUAUCAUAUCAUUAACAAUCAAUCGACUGAGAGGACUCCUUUUUGAAGGACAUUUGUCUGUGAGCUUGUCUUUGGAUAACGCACUUUCCCUGCUUCAGUCCACAAGUUCAGAAGGCGUUUGCUACACCUGCUGAUGUUGAGAGGAAUUUCACUCUACCAGCCAGUCCUCGGCUCAUUUUGCUUGGUGAUCAGAUCCACACACUCUGCAAGUGGAUGAUCAGUAUUGAGAGCCAUGUGAUUUGUCAGAGCAUUCAGCCAACAUUUCAGUCUGGACUUGCGGCUUUCUUUGCGGUGUUCUAUGUUUUCAACCUCCAGUAUCAGGACGAGGCCUCCUAGACCCUGGAAUUCGUUCAAAGACGGUUCAUCGGCAUAAAUCCAGACAGAGGGAGCAAAGCCACCUGUGGAAAGGUCAUGUCUAAGAGGACUGGGAAGGUGGUUCAGAAAAGGCCCAUGACUGUCAACCCGCAUGUUGCCACACUGUUAAAGAAAUUGCUGGACUUUGAGUUGGACUUCGUCUAGGUACUAAUCAUUCCUGUGGAGGAUACCAAUCAAGUACUGCAGUUAAGCCAUUUAUGUGUGUUAGCUCUCUCUUUCUACAUUUUACUUUCCCUGUUAUUAACACUUGGACUUACAAAAGACUUGUGUCAAAGCUAGACUGUGAUGCAUUUCUCUUAUACUGUUGUUGAACCUGUUAUUACAGCUGGAUUUCUUCUCCAUUACACUGUUGUUGCUGCCAUGCUACUUAAGAAUUUCAUGGUUGUUGCUGCUAUUUUACUACAACUUUAUACUAUUGAAGAACAUUUUUAUUCACCAACUAUACUGA